GCCUCUAACUGGAACUUAGCCUGAUCGAGAAAAAAUGCCCCUCCAUCCAUGAGAAUGAGCUGACUGCUGCCAUGACGUGUGCCUCUAACUGGAACUUAGUCUGAUUGAGAAAAAAAGCCCCUCCAUCCAUGAGAAUGAGCUGACUGCUGCCAUGACGUGCCUCUAACUUGAACUUAGCCUGAUUGAGAAAAAAAGCCCCUCCCUCCAUGAGAAUGAGCUGACUGCUGCCAUGAUGUGCCUCUAACUGGAACUUAGCCUGAUUGAGAAAAAAAAGCCCCUCCAUCCAUGAGAAUGAGCUGACUGCUGCCAUGACGUGCCUCUAACUGGAACUUAGCCUGAUUGAGAAAAAAAGCCCCUCCAUCCAUGGGAAUGAGCUGACUGCUGCCAUGACGUGUGCCUCUAACUGGAACUUAGCCUGAUUGAGAAAAGAAAGCCCCUCCAUCCAUGAGAAUGAG